UAAUUUGUGAGGAGUAGAGAUCCUCCGCAGUGGAAACAAGGAAACACUUGCGCCUGAUCUCACGA
rnacentral:sRNA from 20 species